GAUGAACGCUGGCGGCGUGCCUAAUACAUGCAAGUCGAGCGAAUGGAUUAAGAGCUUGCUCUUAUGAAGUUAGCGGCGGACGGGUGAGUAACACGUGGGUAACCUGCCCAUAAGACUGGGAUAACUCCGGGAAACCGGGGCUAAUACCGGAUAACAUUUUGAACCGCAUGGUUCGAAAUUGAAAGGCGGCUUCGGCUGUCACUUAUGGAUGGACCCGCGUCGCAUUAGCUAGUUGGUGAGGUAACGGCUCACCAAGGCAACGAUGCGUAGCCGACCUGAGAGGGGGACCGGCCACAAUGGGACUGAGACGCGGCCCAGGCUCCUACGGGAGGCAGGAGUAGGGAAUCUUCCGCAAUGGACGAAAGUCUGACGGAGCAACGCCGCGUGAGUGAUGAAGGCUGUCGGGUCGUAAAACUCUGUUGUUAGGGAAGAACAAGUGCUAGUUGAAUAAGCUGGCACCUUGACGGUACCUAACCAGAAAGCCACGGCUAACUACGUGCCAGCCCCCGCAGUAA
rnacentral:rRNA from 1 species